UUAUGGAACUUAAGAAAGGAAGACCCCACAAGUGGACGAAGCUGAGUUAUGUUCUGCUCCCCCCACCCAGAUACAUACAACAGGACUGCCUAUCACAUGCCAACCAGUGCAACUGAAGGAGAAGCCAUUUAACAAGUAGCAAAUAAGAAUGAAGUUGAACUAUGAUAGGAUAAAAUACUUCUCUGCAAGGAAAAAAAGAGACUAUGCAAUCAUUAUC
rnacentral:lncRNA from 10 species